rnacentral:rRNA from 1 species
UACAGAGGGGGCAAGCGUUAUUCGGAAUUAUUGGGCGUAAAGGGCGCGUAGGCGGCUGUUCAAGUGGCGGGUGAAAUCCCUCGGCUUAACCGAGGAACUGCCUGCCAGACUGGAUGGCUUGAGACCGGGAGAGGUGAGUGGAAUUCCCAGUGUAGCGGUGAAAUGCGUAGAUAUUGGGAGGAACACCAGUGGCGAAGGCGGCUCACUGGACCGGUACUGACGCUGAGGCGCGAAAGCGUGGGGAGCAAACGGG